GGGUUUCGUCGGCGAAACUUUGCAGGCCGCUGGCGUUGGCGGCGGCGCGCAGGCUGACGGCACCGAAGGUGCGCGAGCGGGCCAGGAUGCUUUCGCGCACCAGGCGAAUGGUCAUGUCGGAUGUCAGGCCGGCGAGGGCAUUGAUGCGCACGGUGGGGUCGUUGUCGUCAUCGGCAUCCAGGCGCGGAUGCAGGUCGGCCCAGUAUUGCUUGAGCAAUUCGCUGAUCAGGGUCAGCGAGCUGGCCAGCCCCGGAAGGCCUUCGAGGGCCAGGGAGCUUUGCAGCAGGAAAUGGGUAAUGCGCAGGUCUUUGCUGCGUUGCAACAGGUCCAGGCUUUGUUGCUGGAUGCUGCGCCAUUCAGGGGGUUCGGCAGGCAGGAUCGAGUCGCCCAUGCUGCGCUCGGGCUGGCCUCGGGAAUCGCGUUCCAGGCGCAAGAAAUCCGC
rnacentral:tmRNA from 1 species